UACGGGGGGGGGCAAGCGUUGUUCGGAAUUACUGGGCGUAAAGGGUCUGUAGGUGGCUCACUAAGUCACACGUGAAAUCCCUCAGCUUAACUGGGGAACUGCGUGUGGGACUGGAGAGCUUGAGGACAGGAGAGGAACGCGGAAUUCCAGGUGUAGCGGUGAAAUGCGUAGAGAUGUGGAGGAACACCGAUGGCGAAGGCAGCCCCCUGGGGUAACACUGACGCUCAUGCACGAAAGCGUGGGGAGCAAACAGG
rnacentral:rRNA from 1 species